rnacentral:rRNA from 1 species
UCUGGUGAUUUGAGCGUCUUGGUACCACCCCUUCCCAUUCCGAACAGGGCCGUGAAACGAGAUAGCGCCGACGAUACUUAACGGGACAAUAGGUCAUGGCCGGGG